rnacentral:rRNA from 1 species
GACAGAGGGGGCAAGCGUUGCUCGGAAUUACUGGGCGUAAAGGGCGCGUAGGCGGGAUGGCAAGUCGGUCGUGAAAUCCCUCGGCUCAACCGAGGAAGUGCAUCCGAAACUGGCGAGCUAGAGUACUAAAGAGGAUCGCGGAAUUCCCGGUGUAGAGGUGAAAUUCGUAGAUAUCGGGAGGAACACCGGUGGCGAAGGCGGCGAUCUGGGUAGAUACUGACGCUGAGGUGCGAAAGCGUGGGGAGCAAACAGG